UACGGGGGGAGCAAGCGUUGUUCGGAUUUACUGGGCGUAAAGGGCGCGUAGGCGGCCACCGCAAGUCGACUGUGAAAUCUCCGGGCUUAACCCGGAAAGGUCAGCCGAUACUGCGGGGCUAGAGUGCAGAAGGGGCAACUGGAAUUCUCGGUGUAGCGGUGAAAUGCGUAGAUAUCGAGAGGAACACCAAUGGCGAAGGCAGCUUGCUGGGACGGUACUGACGCUGAGGCGCGAAAGCGUGGGGAGCAAACAGG
rnacentral:rRNA from 1 species